GUCUGAAUGAUUUACACAAGCUGUGAGUUUUUUUAAACAGCCGCGGGUCUCCCUCUUCGGUGAAGCACAGCCUUCCAACAUGCCGGGAAACCGGUUGCCGGCGCUGCUAGCAUAAUACGAUCUUACACUAGGAGGUGCCGAUUUAUGAACGGUACAGUCAAAUGGUUCAACGCAGAAAAGGGUUAUGGCUUCAUCUCUAACGACGAGGGCGGCGACGACGUGUUCGUGCAUUUCUCCGCUAUCGUGGCUGACGGCUUCAAGACUCUGGAAGAGGGCCAGAAGGUUACUUUCGAGACCGAGCCCGAUCCCAAGAACAGCGCUAAGCUGCGUGCUGUGAACGUCCAGAAGAUCUAAGUCUCAAAAGACAGAGGCCGGUUUCCCGUGAGGAGCCGGCCUUUU
rnacentral:sRNA from 1 species